UGCAGUUAGUAAAACCAUGCAAAAGAAUGUUUUUGGUGUUGUGUGCCAUGGAGUGGAUUCUGACUCAUAGCGACCCUAAAGGACAGAGUAGAACUGCUCCUACAGGGUUUCCGAGGCUGCAGAUCUUUAUGGGAGCAGAUCACCAGGUCUCUUCCCUGUGGAGCGGCUAGUGGGUUCAAACUGCUGACCUGAACAUUUAAACAUUGCACCACCAGCAACAAACACAGUUCAUGACAUUCCCCUUCCUUCCUACAGUCCUGAAGCCAUUCCUGCUGUUCUAUGACCCACUGAUGAGAGCCCAGCAGAUGCCCCUCACACCUUUCCUGGCUCUUCCAUCUGUACGCAUACAUCUGUGCCCAAUAUGGAGAGGAAUUACUGUCUUCUUUCACAAGAAGGAUGUCUUAUUUAUGCACGGGACUCUGCUCCUUGCUUGCUUAUCUCCCUGGCCAGUACACCAUGGACAUCCCCCCAGGUCAAUAGAUAAAGAGCUAACUCCUUUCUUCUAAUAGCUGCAUAAUAUUCCGUAGUAUGGAUAUUCCACAAUUUAUUGUGACUGGACUUCCAUCCAUUUUAAACUGAUGUUUAGAGAUUUCUGGACAUUUGGAAACAUUUUAGAAAAAUCUUUCUAACUGUAGACACUGAAAUUCCGACUAGGAUGUAGAAAUGUUUAAAAUGCCGUGCACCCUGUGCUCCUUCGUACACCUCUGUUCCCAAAACAUUGUUCUUCAUUUUGCACAUGUGCCGUCUUCUGUAUUCCUCUGAGUCCUUCCUACAUGCACAGGCAAAAGUCCAGGUGAAAGAAUACUUAUUUAGUAUAAUUUAAACAUGAGUGAUUUCUAAUGCUACUUCCAUUUAAAUAAUUCAAAAAUUCAUCUCAAGGUGUCUGAAUGCUACAAGAAGAGAGGUGUUAAUGGAUACAUCAUCGAGGCUGAAGACAAACUGUGUUAUUCCGUGUGCAGCUGAGAAGAGUGGAGGAGCAGUAAAAUAUGAAGAAUUUCAAGUUAAAAUUCACGGAGAGUAUGGUGGUGAGAAGGAGCCCUGGUGGCGCGGUGGUUAACUGCUUGGCUGCUAACUGAAAGUAACACAGGAAUAAUAGUUCCUGUCUGCCGAGUUUACAGUGAGGAUUAGACACGAGACUUGCUCUGAGCCCAGUAUUCAUGGGAGCCCAAAACAAGUGAGUGGAGGUAUUAUUUUUACAUACAUUAUGAAGUCUGAGAGUCAGACAUGCUGUGGAGUAAAAAAGCCAGACACUUAAAAGAGUACAUGCUGUGUGAUGCCAUGUAUGUAAAGAUCAGAAACAGCCAAAACUUCUCCAUGUGCGAGAAGUCAGAAUAACUGUUUCCUUUCUAAGGGGUCAUGAUCAUGAAGGGGCAGGGGGAGCCUUCUCGGGUGCUGAAAAUGUUCCAUAUAUUGAUCUCGAUGGGGAAUUAAAUGAAUAUAUACACAUGUAAACAUCCAUCAAGCUGUAUACUUAAUAUUUGUGCAUGUAAGCUAUAUCUCAAUAUAAAUAAAUAAAAUAAAAAUUGAGAGACUUUUCCAUUCAUGAAACAAUUUUCCUCCUGCCUCAGCCAAAAUAGAAAGUGGCUUUACCCAACAACUAAAGUGUCUGAGGGGCUAGGUGUGAAGAUGGGGAAAGGAUAAGGGGACUACUUUGAUGCUGAGGGCUCCUUCCCUAUCCUGUUCAAAGGCCAUUAUGGAUCCGCUUGCUACUCAAAACCUGAACCUAAAAAGAAAUUCUUCAGCCGUGUCCUCGUGGACCAAAUAUAUCAUCAGAUUUACAAGGUUGUGGUUCUGACCACCCCCGGGCUAUUUCUGACCACAGGGAUAGCUUAAAUGGUGUGACCCAUAAAAAGUAAUCUGCAAACUCAGGCCAAAUGUUGAUCUAUUUAGGGCUGAGAGGAUAACAGGCCUUGGCCACAGUUCUCCCUGAGGUAGGACCUGAAGCUGAAUGGAGACCAUUGCCUAGCUGCUGGCUAGGAGGCUGGGAAUUUCUUAGCCUUCUCUCUGUCUCUGGGGGCCAACCACUUAGUGUGGUGUUCACUCAUGCAGGCCUUCACCAGCUCCCCAAGCUGGAUCCACUGGUGGGCCCCCAAAUGGACUUCUGCCAGCCAGUAGGGCUUAAAAUCAAUUCACGUGAACCAUGGGCUCUCAGGAAGCUCCCAAUAUUCUGCAAUUUUCCCCUUUUCUUCACCCUGGUGGUCCAGCUGGGAUUCCUUAAUCUAACUAGCACCCUCUUCAAAGUCAGUUUGUAACACACUCUAUUUACCCAGAUUGGGCCUAGCUCCCUGCCUAGUCCUGGUUCCUGUCCUUUCCCCUGUAUUCCUUGCCCCGCCACUCCCGUAUGUGGGCACAUUU